rnacentral:rRNA from 1 species
GCUCAUCACAUCCUGGGGCUGAAGUAGGUCCCAAGGGUAUGGCUGUUCGCCAUUUAAAGUGGUACGCGAGCUGGGUUUAGAACGUCGUGAGACAGUUCGGUCCCUAUCUGCCGUGGGCGCUGGAGAACUGAGGGGGGCUGCUCCUAGUACGAGAGGACCGGAGUGGACGCAUCACUGGUGUUCGGGUUGUCAUGCCAAUGGCACUGCCCGGUAGCUAAAUGCGGAAGAGAUAAGUGCUGAAAGCAUCUAAGCACGAAACUUGCCCCGAGAUGAGUUCUCCCUGACCCUUUAAGGGUCCUGAAGGAACGUUGAAGACGACGACGUUGAUAGGCCGGGUGUGUAAGCGCAGCGAUGCGUUGAGCUAACCGGUACUAAUGAACCGUGAGGCUUAACCUU